rnacentral:rRNA from 1 species
GAUGAAGUUCCUUCGGGAAUGGAUUAGUGGCGAAUGUGUCCGGAACACGUGAGAAACCUGCCUUUCAUUCUGGGAUAACACCGGGAAACCGGUGCUAAUACCGGAUACUCCGUCUUGGCGGCAUCGCCGAGCCGGGAAAAAAUUUUGAUGAAAGAUGGUCUCGCGGCCUAUCAGCUAGUUGGUGAGGUAAAGGCUCACCAAGGCGACGACGGGUAGCCGGCCUGAGAGGGCGACCGGCCACACUGGGACUGAGACACGGCCCAGACUCCUACGGGAGGCAGCAGUGGG